UACGGAGGGGGUUAGCGUUGUUCGGAAUUACUGGGCGUAAAGCGCACGUAGGCGGGCUGUUAAGUCGGGGGUGAAAUCCCGGGGCUCAACCCCGGAACUGCCUUCGAUACUGGCAGCCUUGAGUUCGAGAGAGGUGAGUGGAAUUCCGAGUGUAGAGGUGAAAUUCGUAGAUAUUCGGAGGAACACCAGUGGCGAAGGCGGCUCACUGGCUCGAUACUGACGCUGAGGUGCGAAAGCGUGGGGAGCAAACAGG
rnacentral:rRNA from 1 species